UUCAAAUGUAAAUAAUAAUUAUUCGUUAAUAUUUUGUUAAUUUUUAUUUAAUUUAUUAAUUAUUUAAUUUUUUUACAUUUUUUACCUUUUAUACAAUAUGUUUAUUAUUCACUAUCGUGUGCACUGUGCUGUUACAAAUUACAAAUUUAAACAGUUCACCUUAAAUUUUCGUCAAAUGUAUCUACAAAGAAUUAAAAUCAUUGCAAAUCCAAGUUAAACUUAAUAUGCCAUUUACAAGUUACAACAAUCACAUUCAAACCUUCAUAACUCAAAUCAUUAAGCAAGAUACAGUAACUGGUGUAUGCAUGUACCCAAGCCAUGUAGGAGAUUAUUCUGUUUGGAAAAACUUCUUCUGAAAAAACUGUUUCCACUAACAGUUCCACAUGGCGGUUUACGAGUAAUGACCAAAAUAGGCAUCUAGCUUCAACUUCUGUGUUCACCCUUGAAAGAACGUCAUUAAGCUAUACCACAUAGAGUUGUAAAUACCGUUUCCGGAUAUAUGCCGGUGUAUUUAUUUAUAUAUAAUAAUAUUAUGUUAUUCUGUAAUCCGUGACCUGUGCCACUGUGGUUAAGGCACAACUAAAUAAAUUGGGUGCCAUGAGUAGAGAUUUAAAUUCUGCCUUAUUAAUAUUAACACCUUAAUAAUAAUUAAUGACAUUAAAACGUUGCACCUACCUAUACUCAAGGACAAGGCCCUAAUAUUAUAUAUUAUAUAUAUAAAAAAUGAAAAAUAGAUUAUAAUAGUGUAAUAACGUAGAAUAAGAUAACAUAUAAAUAAAUAUAUAAAUACGGCUCCUGCCGAUAGUUAUAUUAAAAUAGUAAAAGUUAGAAUUGUAAAAAUUACGCUAUUACCUUCCUCCAGAUGUUCAGAGGGCUCUCGAGAUCGUAUAUUCGAGAAUUAUAUCAAAUACACCGUACAAUAUGAUUUUAUGGAAAAAAGCACAUAGAACGUAUUGACUGCAAUCAACAUAAAAUAUUAUAUCAUAUGUCUUACCUGAUUCGCAGUUGUUCGUAGACAAUAUUGUAAGAGUUUUAGGUUUUAGAUAAAAUAAAGUACUACUUCAGAU